UACGUAGGGUGCGAGCGUUGUCCGGAAUUAUUGGGCGUAAAGAGCUCGUAGGCGGCUUGUCGCGUCGGAUGUGAAAGCCCGGGGCUUAACCCUGGGUCUGCAUUCGAUACGGGCAGGCUGGAGUUCGGUAGGGGAGAUCGGAAUUCCUGGUGUAGCGGUGAAAUGCGCAGAUAUCAGGAGGAACACCGGUGGCGAAGGCGGAUCUCUGGGCCGAUACUGACGCUGAGGAGCGAAAGCGUGGGGAGCAAACAGG
rnacentral:rRNA from 1 species